rnacentral:lncRNA from 1 species
AUAUAUAGGACCGUGCCUCUGUGGAUGGACAAAUCAUCUUGCAGUUUUGCUUAGAACACAUAUUUCCUUGUCAAUCUCGAUCCUGUUAAUAACCAGAAACAAGCAUCACAGUUGCAUUACAUUAUCUAGAUGGACAAGUACAUGACCGCGUCAGUCCUGUUUUCUCUACUUCUUCUUGUAUGCCUUGCUACUACGACACAAUGUAAGCGUUCGAUUCAGAACUCUACUUCGGGUAAAUCUGUCGUUACAGGUACAGGUCAAUUAUACUCACGUAUUUUAAUUUUCUGUUUAUGCUGGAAGUUGGUAUUUUCUUAGUGCAUGACGACUGUGUUUUUCCUUUCUUGUGCCAUCUGGUGCUUCUUUGUUAAUCAACACGGAAUCAUACUAAUGUCAAUCAUUUGUCUAUACUUUUUUUUUCAUAGGUCAAAUCACCGACAGCAUGGAUAAUCAUAAGAUCAAUUUACCAAACGGGCUGUGCGUCUAUAACAAAAAAGUUCAGCUCUACUGUUGCCUUGUGUCGAAUUUAUGUUAUUACCCACAAGAAUUAUGCGUUGAAAGUUGCAAAGGAUGACUCCUAUUAAAUUGACUUUUUGUUCGAAGAAGUAAUAAAGAGUAGUAGCUUUGUUGUCGUUUGAUUGGUCAGUCCGGUUGCAAGUAAACUCUGGGCAGGACUAGGUCCUUCGGGUGAG